ACUACUGUCUAGUAUAAGCAAUUAUACAGCGAAACUGCGAAUGGCUCAUUAUAUAAGUUAUCGUUUAUUUGAUAGUACCUUACUACUUGGAUAACCGUGGUAAUUCUAGAGCUAAUACAUGCUAAAAAUCCCGACUUCGGAAGGGAUGUAUUUAUUAGAUUAAAAACCAAUGCCCUUCGGGGCUCACUGGUGAUUCAUGAUAACUCCUCGAAUCGCAUGGCCUUGUGCCGGCGAUGGUUCAUUCAAAUUUCUUCCCUAUCAACUUUCGAUGUUUGGGUAUUGGCCAAACAUGGUUGCAACGGGUAACGGAGGGUUAGGGCUCGACCCCGGAGAAGGAGCCUGAGAAACGGCUACUACAUCCAAGGAAGGCAGCAGGCGCGCAAAUUACCCAAUCCCGACACGGGGAGGUAGUGACAAUAAAUACUGAUACAGGGCUCUUUUGGGUCUUGUAAUUGGAAUGAGUACAAUUUAAAUCCCUUAACGAGGAACAAUUGGAGGGCAAGUCUGGUGCCAGCAGCCGCGGUAAUUCCAGCUCCAAUAGCGUAUAUUAAAGUUGUUGUGGUUAAAAAGCUCGUAGUUGAACCUUGGGCCUGGCUGGCCGGUCCGCCUCACCGCGUGUACUGGUCCGGCCGGGCCUUUCCCUCUGUGGAACCCCAUGCCCUUCACUGGGUGUGGCGGGGAAACAGGACUUUUACUGUGAAAAAAUUAGAGUGCUCCAGGCAGGCCUAUGCUCGAAUACAUUAGCAUGGAAUAAUAGAAUAGGACGUGUGGUUCUAUUUUGUUGGUUUCUAGGACCGCCGUAAUGAUUAAUAGGGACAGUCGGGGGCAUCAGUAUUCAAUUGUCAGAGGUGAAAUUCUUGGAUUUAUUGAAGACUAACUACUGCGAAAGCAUUUGCCAAGGAUGUUUUCAUUAAUCAGGAACGAAAGUUAGGGGAUCGAAGACGAUCAGAUACCGUCGUAGUCUUAACCAUAAACUAUGCCGACUAGGGAUCGGACGGGGUAUUUUUUGACCCGUUCGGAACUUACAAGAAUCAAAGGGUUGGGUCCAGGGGAGUUGCCAUAGUAAAA
rnacentral:rRNA from 1 species